rnacentral:rRNA from 1 species
GACAGAGGGUGCAAACGUUGUUCGGAAUUACUGGGCGUAAAGCGCGUGUAGGCGGCAAUAUAAGUCGGAUGUGAAAUCCCGCGGCUCAACCGUGGAAGUGCACCCGAAACUGUAUCGCUAGAGUCCCGGAGAGGAUGGUGGAAUACUUGGUGUAGAGGUGAAAUUCGUAGAUAUCAAGUGGAACACCGGUGGCGAAGGCGGCCAUCUGGACGGUGACUGACGCUGAGGCGCGACAGCGUGGGGAGCAAACAGG